ensembl:lincRNA
CAUUCCACAGGUUUCCCCUGGAAGCACCUCCUCGGUGAACCACCCACACACCCACCUGUCCUGCAGGAGCAGCUUCGAGAGCAAGUCUCCUGUGGGCAGGUGGAAGUGGGAGAAUGAAUGAACGAAUGAACGAGAUGCUUCCUUUUGUGGAAACAACCAGCCGUGGGGUGGAGGAAGACGCCCUGUGGUGACGUACGGGUUCCCUUCCGCACCUGAGCUGCGGCAUCUGGUGCCCGGCUCCCAGGGGACGCUGGCAGGUCACCGUCCCACCCCAGCUCUGACAAGUACAUUGCUCCAAGUCCACGCACUUGAUUUUAGGGUUAGUCUCUCCCAAACUGAUUUGGCCUUGGAAUCGCUCCUUCACGUAACCUGCUUGAUGUUCCAUUGGAGGUGACUUUCCGCAUAAAAUCCUCUCUGAAAGGGCUUGGGGGUGGACUCCCCGGGAGAGGGGGCCCUUGGGUUUGGCGAGUGCUACUGGGCUGGACCCUCCCCCCUCGCUCCCCCCAGGGACCCUGAGAGCCCCACCAGUCCCCGCAGGGGUGGGUGUUCAAAGCUUUCUCUGGAGGCGAAGCCAUUUUUAGCAGGAGAAUUAUGACAAAUCUAUUUCCCAUUAAACAAGUGAACUGUGUAAUUGUUACAGAUUAUAAUUUCUUUUCAACAGGACAGGGCAUAGCUGGAAAUUAAGCAGAUUCUAUGAACAACUGAACCUAAUGAAUCCUGCAAAGACUGAGCGGUUUCAGAGUCAUAAUUUCCAGAUGUCCAGAGACCAGAAUCGGAGGUUCUCCUCGCUGGGGACUUGUGUCCGACCCACUCCGUACACUCUCGCUGUGAAAAUCGGUCUCUCGCUUGGCGAAGCCGCAGCCUCGGGUCUGGCAUUCGAUGCCUCAGAGAUCUCGCCCAGCAGCGGUGCUUUCGGCAGACGAAGGUGUCGGACGAGGGGGGGGCGGGACCACCGGCCUUGGAGAGACAGCCACGGCCACAGGCAAGAAGGACAGACAGACGCUAAACGCUCCCCUACUGAGCACCGAGGAGGAACGGAUGCAGCAGCAUGGAACGUUCCAGACUUCUCGCCCUUGGUUCCGGGUCCUGGCCCAAGAGAAGCUCGCGGUUCACAGAUGAUUCCCGCCCAAAUGUCACGAGCUUUGUCCGACGUUCCUUGGAGCAGUAAGAAACGGCUCGUCAAGAGCGAGUUCCUCCACGCAGCUCGCAGCCCUGGGCGUCCUCCCUGCAGGCUUCGGAUCAGCGCACCCCUCCCCUCCCCCGCACACCUCUUCUUUGCAUAAUCCCCGUAAAUCCCCUAAAUCAGAGACCCCUCUCUCCCAGUCUCAAGGAGGUGACAAGCCGAAGGAAUGAAUCUAAUGACAUAAAGUUGCUGGAAGCUACUCAGAUCCCAUGUCUGAGUUCUGCAGAGAAGGUGGGCCACCUCAUAACCCCUCUUACUACACCCAUAGCAUUUCCUUUCCCUGCGCCCCCAGUUCCUUGAGAUCCCCAAGGUCGUCUCAGGCGUUUCAGUCCUUAAAGCCCCUACAGUUCUCUUUGAACGUGGAAAAUGCCAAUGAGUGUUUACCAUUUUCCCUGGCCGUCUCUGACUCCCCCCUGCCGUGGCUGACCCGGCUCUGUCUCUGACUCCCCUCUGCCGUGGCUGACCCGGCUCCGUCUCUGACUCCCCCCUGCUGUGGCUGACCUGGCUCCGUCUCUGACUCCCCCCUGCCGUGGCUGACCCGGCUCCAUCUCUGACUCCCCUCUGCCGUGGCUGACCCGGCUCCGUCUCUGACUCCCCUCUGCCGUGGCUGACCCGGCUCUAUCUCUGACUCCCCUCUGCCGUGGCUGACCCGGCUCUAUCUCUGACUCCCCCCUGCCGUGGCUGACCCGGCUCUAUCUCUGACUCCCCUCUGCUGUGGCUAACCUGGCUCCGUCUCUGACUCCCCCCUGCCGUGGCUGACCCGGCUCCGCCUCUGAUUCCCCUCUGCCGUGGCUGACCCGGCUCCGUCUCUGACUCCCCCCUGCUGUGGCUGACCCGGCUCCGUCUCUGACUCCCCCCUGCCGUGGCUGACCUGGCUCCGUCUCUGACUCCCCUCUGCCGUGGCUGACCCGGCUCCGUCUCUGACUCCCCCCUGCUGUGGCUGAGCCCGCUGUCCACUGACAGACGCUGUUCUCUGCUCAGGAGGGAGAACCUCGGGAGUGAUCCCAGGUUCUCCGUGGGAGGCCAGGGCAGGAGAAGGGCUGCGGGUACUAUCGGGUUAACUCGGUGC